GACUUUACAGACAAUUUCCAGUUAUUGUUUCGCUCCGGAGAGAAAAGGAAAAAAAAAAAAAAAAAAAAAAAAAAAGAAAAAAAAAAAAGAGGGGCUUUUCUCCCCAACCCACAUAAUGGAACGCUUUUGUGUGGCGCAGAACAAUACCAAACAAGUAUUCUAAUAAAUAGCCACUUUUUUGUUCCGUGCCGGCGGUGAAUGGAACUGAGCAGUUGGUUCGGGAGCAGCUGGAGCCGGGCGGGGGGGGGGAAGGGGGGGAGCGCCGCUGCCUCCCCUCUGCCUUCCCUCUCCCUGCACCUCCCUCUCCCCUUCCCCACCCCUCCCCGGGGAAGCGAUGCUCACGCAAAGGAAUGGAGAAGAGCCCCCCAGCGUGACAACCGCUGGGGGAAAGGCAGUCGGGAGCGGUGAUUAAAAUGGACACAAAUCCGCUAAAGACUUCCAGGGCUACAACGAAGCACAGAGAGGAAAAAUGGGAAUUCCUCUCAUGAUUCCUUAUAGGGAUGGCAUCCAAUUCCCCAGGAUGCGGCUGUGCCCACAGUAUCAGUUUGGAAGUGAAAGAUGCCUCUUCCUAAACAAGUAGGCGCGGGGGGAUUAAAUUGUACACAUUUAAACGAAGUAUCUUUAGAAUUAUUCGUAUUCGGAAUUAACCGGGGCUUAAACACAGACUGAGCUGAUUUUCGUGUCGGGAACGCGAGAUCCGCACGUCUCUGGACAGCGUUAAACGAGUGGAGGAAUGCACCCGGAGUGGGUAUUGAUCACACGCGGCGAGCGCUGCCUGCUGCCUUUAAGCCCCGUUUCAUCUGAAUUCUCCCACCCUCCAAACAAUAAUAACAACAAUAAAGCCCCCCAAACCAAACCCCA
rnacentral:lncRNA from 1 species